AGCGAACGCUGGCGGCGUGCCUAACACAUGCAAGUCGAACGUGAACGGGGGCAACCCCUAGUAAAGUGGCGUACGGGUGAGUAACGCGUAGGUAAUCUACCCCAGAGUCUGGAAUAACCUGCCGAAAGGCGGGCUAAUACUGGAUAGAGCGACGGAAUCCGUAAUUGGGUUUUUCGGGAAAGGGAGCUCGCAAGGGCCCUCGCUUUGGGCUGAGCCUGGGUCUCAUGAGCUAGUUGGUAGGGUAAUGGCCUACCAAGGCAUUGAUGGGUAGCUGGUCUGAGAGGAUGAUCAGCCACACUGGAACUGAAACACGGUCCAGACUCCUACGGGAGACAGCAGUGGGGAAUCUUGCGCAAUGGACGAAAGUCUGACGCAGCCACGCCGCGUGAGUGAAGAAGGCCUUCGGGUUGUAAAGCUCUGUCGAGCGGGACGAACGGCCAGUGGGUGAAUAGCCCAUUGGAUUGACGGUACCGCUAAAGGAAGCACCGGCUAACUCCGUGCCAGCCGCCGCGGUAAUAC
rnacentral:rRNA from 1 species